rnacentral:lncRNA from 1 species
UUUUUUUUUAUAUUACAUUUCUAACCCGUGUAGCGAGCUUUAGGCCAGUGACUCCCAGACCAGUUGGCCUUAGGGCACUAGGUGUUGAAACACCCCUACGGACUUAAUUACUCGGGUUUCUAAUAAACAAACAAUAUAUCUAUUACCCAUGUAGCGAGCUUUAGGCCAGUGACUCCCAGACCAGUUGACCUUAGGGCACUAGGUGUUGAAACACCCCUACGGACUUAAUUACUCGGGUUUCUAAUAAACAAACAAUAUAUCUAUUACCCAUGUAGCGAGCUUUAGGCCAGUGACUCCCAGACCAGUUGACCUUAGGGCACUAGGUGUUGAAACACCCCUACGGACUUAAUUACUCGGGUUUCUAAUAAACAAACAAUAUAUCUAUUACCCAUGUAGCGAGCUUUAGGCCAGUGACUCCCAGACCAGUUGGCCUUAGGGCACUAGGUGUUGAAACACCCCUACGGACUUAAUUACUCGGGUUUCUAGAUAUAACAAAAUUAAAAACAUUUUUUUCUUCUUUUUUUUUUUGAAAUAUACACUUUCUACUACCUUAGAUACUAUUCCUAAUAAAUCAAAAGAACUAAAUGCUGUAAAAUUUUAACUUACAACCCACUAGUAUGUGUCAUAGUGUGUGUGUGAAGAAUGAUUCAAUAAUACCUGUUAAAUGAGUAAACAAUUAAAUAACUUAAUAACCAAGUGGAGAGUUCACAAAUUUGAGUAAUUCAAAGAAAACGGAACAAAAACAGCUUACUAUGAAUCUCAAAAUCAAAAUAUAAUACAAUAAGACCUGUACGGCCAAGGCGCAUGUACGGUACAGCAGUAAUAGAGCAAAAUCAAAAUAUAAUACAAUAAGACUAUUAGGAUGCGUCUCAAAAGUCGUGACUCUUUACACGGCCAUCCUAGACAAAAAAGCAAAAUUUUUUUUUGUUUUUUUUAACAAAGAAAGGAAAAGAGAAAAGAGAAAAACAACACACAUAUUUAAAAACAUACGUCAAUUAUCCCCACCCACAACCUAAUCUAAACAUUAUCUUAACAUUUUAUAAUUUUACAAAUAUGCAAAAAAAAAAAGUAAAUAAUAAUAAAAAUAAAAAUAAAAGAGAAUAAUAAAAGAAGAAGAAGAGGCAUGUUAUUGCUAGCCCUCUAGCAAUUAAAGAGUUAUAUUAAAUUAAGAUUUAUAAAAUUCACAUGCAAGUUAAUAGUUGUUUAUCUAUCCUCUAAAUUACCAAAUAAAUGAACUCUCCCAAAUUCCUUUACCACAUUGAUGUUCACUCAUUAUCCAGAAUAUCAUCAAACCUUCUUUUGUGCUCAAGUAAUUAACACAAUACUUAUGGGGCUUCAUUAAAAGAAAAACAACAUUUUCGUUCCAAAAUUCAUUAGAAAUUAUAUCUUUAGGUAAUAGAUUAUUCACACAUUUUUUUUAAAUAUUACAUUUCUAACCCGUGUAGCGAGCUUUAGGUCAAUGACUCCCAGACCAGUUGGCCUUAGGGCACUAGGUGUUGAAGCACCCCUACGGACUUAAUUACUCGGGUUUCUAAUAAACAAACAAUAUAUCUAUUACCCAUGUAGCGAGCUUUAUGCCAGUGACUCCCAGACCAGUUGACCUUAGGGCACUAGGUGUUGAAGCACCCCUACGGACUUAAUUACUCGGGUUUCUAAUAAACAAACAAUAUAUCUAUUACCCAUGUAGCGAGCUUUAUGCCAGUGACUCCCAGACCAGUUGACCUUAGGGCACUAGGUGUUGAAGCACCCCUACGGACUUAAUUACUCGGGUUUCUAAUAAACAAACAAUAUAUCUAUUACCCAUGUAGCGAGCUUUAUGCCAGUGACUCCCAGACCAGUUGACCUUAGGGCACUAGGUGUUGAAACACCCCUACGGACUUAAUUACUCGGGUUUUUAGAUAUAACAAAAUUAAAAACAUUUUUUCUUCUUCUUUUUUUUUUUUGAUUUUUUUUUUGUUUUUUUGUUUUUUUGGAAAUAUACACUUUCUACUACCUUAGAUACUUUUCCUAAUAAAUCAAAAGAACUAAAUGCUGUAAAACUUUAACUUACAACCCACUAGUAUGUGUCAUAGUGUGUGUGUGAAGAAUGAUUCAAUAAUACCUGUUAAAUGAGUAAACAAUUAAAUAACUUAAUAACCAAGUGGAGAGUUCACAAAUUUGAGUAAUUCAAAGAAAAGGGAACAAAAACAACUUACUAUGAAUCUCAAAAU